rnacentral:rRNA from 1 species
GAGUUUGAUCGUGGCUCAGAAUGAACGCUGGCGGCGUGCCUAACACAUGCAAGUCGAGCGGGGAUAGUCCGUAAGGAUGUGUACCAGCGGCGGACGGGUGAGUAACGCGUGAGAACAUGCCUUUUAGUGAAGAAUACCCCAGGGAAGCCUGGGUUAAUACUGCAUAAUCCUUUAUGAGGGAAAGGUGGCUUUAUGCUGCCGCUAAAAGAUUGGCUUGCGUACUAUUAGCUAGUUGGUGAGGUAAUGGCUCACCAAGGCUUUGAUGGUUAACCGGCCUGAGAGGGUGUACGGUCACAUUGGAACUGAGAUACGGUCCAGACUCCUACGGGAGGCAGCAGUGGGGAAUAUUGGACAAUGGGCGAAAGCCUGAUCCAGCCAUGCCGCGUGUGUGAAGAAGGUCUUCGGAUUGUAAAGCACUUUAAGUUGGGAGGAAGGGCAGUAAAUUAAUACUUUGCUGUUUUGACGUUACCGACAGAAUAAGCACCGGCUAACUCUGUGCCAGCAGCCGCAGU